rnacentral:rRNA from 1 species
CACGUAGGGGGCGAGCGUUGUCCGGAAUUACUGGGCGUAAAGAGCUCGUAGGUGGUUUGUCGCGUUGUCCGUGAAAACUCACAACUCAAUUGUGGGCGUGCGGGCGAUACGGGCAGACUGGAGUACUGCAGGGGAGACUGGAAUUCCUGGUGUAGCGGUGGAAUGCGCAGAUAUCAGGAGGAACACCGGUGGCGAAGGCGGGUCUCUGGGCAGUAACUGACGCUGAGGAGCGAAAGCGUGGGGAGCGAACAGG